UACGGGGGGGGGCAAGCGUUGUUCGGAAUUACUGGGCGUAAAGGGCGCGUAGGCGGUUCGCUAAGUUGGAUGUGAAAACUCUGGGCUCAACCCAGAGCCUGCAUCCAAAACUGGCGGGCUAGAGUUCUGGAGGGGGUAGCGGAAUUCCUGGUGUAGCGGUGAAAUGCGCAGAUAUCAGGAGGAACACCGGUGGCGAAGGCGGGUCUCUGGGCCGAUACUGACGCUGAGGAGCGAAAGCGUGGGGAGCGAACAGG
rnacentral:rRNA from 1 species